GACGAACGCUGGCGGCGUGCUUAACACAUGCAAGUCGAACGGAAAGGCCCUGCUUUUGUGGGGUGCUCGAGUGGCGAACGGGUGAGUAACACGUGAGUAACCUGCCCUUGACUUUGGGAUAACUUCAGGAAACUGGGGCUAAUACCGGAUAGGAGCUCCUGCUGCAUGGUGGGGGUUGGAAAGUUUCGGCGGUUGGGGAUGGACUCGCGGCUUAUCAGCUUGUUGGUGGGGUAGUGGCUUACCAAGGCUUUGACGGGUAGCCGGCCUGAGAGGGUGACCGGCCACAUUGGGACUGAGAUACGGCACAGACUCCUACGGGAGGCAGCAGUGGGGAAUAUUGCACAAUGGGCGGAAGCCAGAUGCAGCAACGCCGCGUGCGGGAUGACGGCCUUCGAGUUGUAAACCGCUGUCGCCUGUGACGAAGCGUGAGUGACGGUAAUGGGUAAAGAAGCACCGGCUAACUACGUG
rnacentral:rRNA from 1 species